CCUUCGGGUGUGACUGCGUACCUUUUGUAUAAUGGGUCAGCGACUUAUAUUCUGUAGCAAGGUUAACCGUAUAGGGGAGCCGCAGGGAAACCGAGUCUUAACUGGGCGUUAAGUUGCAGGGUAUAGACCCGAAACCCGGUGAUCUAGCCAUGGGCAGGUUGAAGGUUGGGUAACACUAACUGGAGGACCGAACCGACUAAUGUUGAAAAAUUAGCGGAUGACUUGUGGCUGGGGGUGAAAGGCCAAUCAAACCGGGAGAUAGCUGGUUCUCCCCGAAAGCUAUUUAGGUAGCGCCUCGUGAACUCAUCUUCGGGGGUAGAGCACUGUUUCGGCUAGGGGGUCAUCCCGACUUACCAACCCGAUGCAAACUACGAAUACCGAAGAAUGUUAUCACGGGAGACACACGGCGGGUGCUAACGUCCGUCGUGAAGAGGGAAACAACCCAGACCGCCAGCUAAGGUCCCAAAGUCAUGGUUAAGUGGGAAACGAUGUGGGAAGGCACAGACAGCCAGGAUGUUGGCUUAGAAGCAGCCAUCAUUUAAAGAAAGCGUAAUAGCUCACUGGUCGAGUCGGCCUGCGCGGAAGAUGUAACGGGGCUAAACCAUGCACCGAAGCUGCGGCAGCGACACUAUGUGUUGUUGGGUAGGGGAGCGUUCUGUAAGCCUGCGAAGGUGUGCUGUGAGGCAUGCUGGAGGUAUCAGAAGUGCGAAUGCUGACAUAAGUAACGAUAAAGCGGGUGAAAAGCCCGCUCGCCGGAAGACCAAGGGUUCCUGUCCAACGUUAAUCGGGGCAGGGUGAGUCG
rnacentral:rRNA from 1 species